AACUGGCUUUGGAUAGGUCUGGGUUUGUUUCCAUCCCUAUCCAAGAUAACAGACUCAAGUAUAUUGAACUACAAUAUUAUUAAAGUGCCAAAAACAUAUCAAUAUUAAUUAAAAACAUAUCAAUAUUAAUUAAAAACAGAACUUAAAAAUUGAAGAAUAACUUGAGAGACAGAACAAAGCUUAAAGAUUGAUGAGGGCAGAGAUCUUGAAUCAGUGAUGGACAGAGAGCUUCAAUUAGGCUUUUCAAGAAAGGGGAUGA
rnacentral:lncRNA from 1 species